rnacentral:tRNA from 1 species
AAGAAAGUGUCAGAGCGGUUAUGAGGCUGACUUGAAAUCAGUUUAGGGAAGUUCGACUCCUCCCUUUCUCG